rnacentral:rRNA from 1 species
UACGAAGGGUGCAAGCGUUAAUCGGAAUUACUGGGCGUAAAGCGCGCGUAGGUGGUUCAGUAAGUUGGAUGUGAAAUCCCCGGGCUCAACCUGGGAACUGCUUUCAAAACUGCUGAGCUAGAGUACGGUAGAGGGUGGUGGAAUUUCCUGUGUAGCGGUGAAAUGCGUAGAUAUAGGAAGGAACACCAGUGGCGAAGGCGACCACCUGGACUGAUACUGACACUGAGGUGCGAAAGCGUGGGGAGCAAACAGG